CUCGUGAUGUGUGUAGCUUCAGCCUAACUUACAUUGGCUUUGGUUAGGUUAGGUUAGGGAUUUUCUUUUGAGUUACACAGACCUCAAGUAAUGGUAGCUUGCGAUGUGUGUAGCUUUAGCCUAACUUACAUUGGCUUUGGUUAGGUUAGGUUAGGGAUUUUCUUUGAGUUACACAGACCUCAAGUAAUGGUAGCUUGCGAUGUGUGUAGCUUUAGCCUAACUUUCAUUGGCUUUGGUUAGGUUAGAUUAGGGAUUUUCUUUGAGUUACACAGACCUCAAGUAAUGGUAGCUUGCGAUGUGUAGCUUCAGCCUAACUUUCAUUGGCUUCGGGAAAUAUUUGGCCAACAUUUUUCUCUUUUAUCUCAAGGCGUAUAGAUUUUCCUUGACUUUCUGCUACAUCUUCAUUUAAUCCUUCCUAAUUCCCCCUCUUCCUCCUCCUUUAUCAUCUUGUAUACAUUCUUAUCUAAUCGUUCCUAUCUCCUCUCUUCUUCCUCCUUCAUCAGUCUUAUUUUCCUUCUUCUGACCUGUAUCGCUUCGUAGACCCUCCUUCCCUCCUCCUACUCUUCCUCCUUUAUCAUCAUGCACAUCCUUAUCUAAUCGUUCCUAUCUCCUCUUCUUGCUCCUUCAUCAUUCCUAUUUUCCUUCUUCUUUUGACCUGUAUUGCUUUGUAGAUCCUCCUCCUCCUCCUCCUCCUCUUGAUCCUCUCUUCUGCUUAUUCACACACUCUGCUUUCCAAUGGCAUUACACUAUUUAUCUUUCCUCACUAUAAUACACUAAAACACUACAAUUUUCAAGGAAUGUUUAAGGAAAAGUAACCUAGACAGUUUGGUUAUGAGGGCGACAAUAUAUAUAUGCCAUGAAAAAAGUUGGAUCACAGUAUGUUAUUAGUGUUUAUCGUUUACAAGACCAGGUAUGAUCAUUCUGCGAGCGCACUUCCGUUCAUUCAUGUGAUAUCCAAAGCUUAUACUAUAUGGAAAUUACAACAAUGGAAUAUAAGGAUAACCCGAGGGGAGUCUUAUAAUGGAGAAAGUCAUGUUAAUCUGGCCCCUUUAGCAAACAAUUUUCUUUCUGCUUGAUGAUUUAGUAAAGGCUCGGGAUACAAUAAUAGCCACUCCUGUUUGUGUUGCCGGGCUGUUGUUUCUUCUUCAUUCAUUGCCCUUGAGCCAUUUCCUUCACCAUAAAAAAAACCUGCCUGUUGUAAUGACACUAUUGCCACUCAAGUUUAGGCUUUUGGUAUACUAUCUAAAAGUUCACAUACAGAGAGAUUUUGCUUCCUUGAAACUAUACAUGAUAUUCCUGUUGGCUCCUUGUUGGACCAGACACACAACUAUGGAAAAAUACCACUGAUUACUGCCACUCAAUCCACUCGGGUCAGCUCAGAAUAUGGCUUGAGAAAAACUGGCAAAUAUUACAACCUGUAGAGUUAUUGUGACUUCCUGGACUGCCUUUCCUUUUCAUAAUAAUCUUCAUAAUAAUCAUAAUAGUCAACUUUGUAAUGAACUAGGAAGUGGCUGCAGAAAAAAGACAUAAUGCAAAUAAACACAAAUAAAUUAAUAAAUAAAUUCAAAGCAUGUGUGAAUCAUUCCUGUGACGAUGUUAAUUAUGCAAAUACUGUAAGGGCGGUGUAGAAAAAUCAUCGAUACUCUUAAUAAUUAUACAAAAUCUUGAGGCACGAACUCGGAUGUGAAUUAGUAUGUAGUUGUUUUCUUGAAUAAUUCUUUGGCGACGAUUCAAUACAUAGAUUUCAGGAUCAAAAAAUAUCACUUCCUUCUCGAACACAUCAAUGAAUAUUAGGUGAUCACGAAGCAACGGAGAACCGAGCAUAUACGACACCACACACCACGUUCCUGUGAGAGCCGUGGAGUAGGAGAGCUUGGCCGACUUGAUCACAGGCGCCACAUUGAUACCAAAGAGCCGUAUGAAAUUCAUAUUAAUGGUGAUACAAGUGAUUUUUAUACUCUAGAUAUCGUCAGUGGAUCAAUAGGGUGAGCCAGUACUGGAGCGAGAGAGUUGGGAGCAGCAGGAUUGAGUGUGCAGAGAGGGAGUGCCUGAACAGGGAGAGAUGGAGACACUUCUGCAAUAGUGAGAGAGUUAAAAGUAGCAGGAUUGAGUGUGAUGAGAGGAAGUGCCAGAACAGGGAGAGAUGGAGACACUUCUGCAAUAGUGAGAGAGCUGGGAGUAGCAGGAUUGAGUGUGCUGAGAGGGGAUGCCAGAACAGGGAGAGAUUGAGACACUUCUGCAAUAGUGAGAGUUGGGAGUAGCAAGAUUGAGUGUGCUGAGAGGGAAUGCCAGAACAGGCUGCAAUAGGGUGAGUGAGUUGGGAGUAGCAGGAUUGAGUGUGCAGAGGAAUGCCUGAACAGGGAGAUAUGGAGACACUUCUUCAAUAGGGUGAGUACUGGAGCGAGAGAGUUGGUCUACGUAAAUCAGUUUGAGUUUUGCGUGGCUUCUUCGGUAACAAGAUGACGCCUACGAUGAGGGUGGCCAAGCUCUCCUCUUCCAUGGCUCUUGUUCAAGGAGAUGGUUCACUUCAGACUGGAGAGAUGCAGGCCACUUACUCAGCUAAUGAAUAAAUUAAACCUUCUGAGUACAAAGUAAUCCUAUUGGACUUACAUGAUAUACAUUAAAAAUAUCUAUGUACAAGCAUCUCAGUAACUUUGAACCAUUGGAGUGUUUUCCGUCUCACACUCAACAUCAUACAAAAGCAUUGGGAAUAUAAAGACCGACGACCAGCAGCAUGUUCCUUCAGCACUGUUCAGCCUAACUCUUAUAGGCCUCGGAAAAUAAUCGGCCACUGUUUUUCCUUUUUAUCUUCAGUCAUAUGGAUUUUUGUUGAGUUUAAUGGACCUCAAGUAAUGGUAGGUUGUGAUGUGUGUAGCUUCAGCCUAACUUUCAUGGGCCUCGGAAAAUAAUUGGCCAUUGUUUUUCCCUUUUAUCUCAAGUCAUAUGGAUUUUCUUUGAGUUUAAUGGACCUCAAGUAAUGGUAGCUUGUGAUGUGUGUAGCUUCAGCCUAACUUUCAUUGGCUUCAGAAAAUAAUUGGCCACUGUUUUUCCUUUUUAUCUUCAGUCAUAUAGAUUUUCUUUGAGUUUAAUGGACCUCAAGUAAUGGUAGCUUGUGAUGUGUGUAGCUUCAGCCUAACUUUCACUGGCUUCGGAAAAUAUAUGGCCAUUAUCUUUCUCUUUUAUCUCAAGGUGUAUAGAUUUUCCUUGACCUUCUGCCUUCAAGUAAUGGUUAAGAGUUGCCUGGUAGCUUCAGAACUGUUGCAGUCUACUUCGGAAAAUAUCUGGCCAUUAUCUUUCCUUUUAUCGCAAGCUUUAUGGAUUUUCUUUAUCUUUAAUGGCCCUCGAGUUAUGGUUAAGGGCUGCCUGUGAUGUGUGUGGGUGGCUACACACACACAAACACACACACACACAUACAUGUAGAUAUUUUAUAACUACACAUUCGGUGUUUUAACUUCAAUUCCGUUUGUCAACGCAAAGUCAACUGAAGAUUUAAACGUUCCUAAACUGUACCAAUGGUGAAAGAAAAUGCUAGAGUUGAUGCAGUGGUGUCUGGAGGCAACCAAAAGUGUCCUUCCUCCUCAUAAUGUUAGCAAGUUACAGAGGUCACCCGAAACAUGAUCUUAUUGUAUUUGAGAAAGGAUACUGAACACCAAACGCCAGGGCUGUUGAACUGGACUUAACUCGCUGUGGUGUUUGGAGGCAACCUAUUAUAGUCAUUCCUCUUUAUAAUUCUAGCAAGUUACAGAGGUCACCCAAAACAUGAUCUUACUGAACGCCGGUGACACCAGGACUGCCGAAAUAUACUUAACGCUAAAUGUGUCUCGAUAUCACUUUCAAUGUCUUCAUCAUGUCACUUCAUGAGCUACCAACUAUAUACACACAGACUUCACAAGGAGACAGAUCACACGGAGAUGCUAGAGUCGUUUGGCGGCACCUUCAAGCACUACUACAAGCGGCUAGGCUAUUGACAACUCUCGGAGGUGAGUAUUAAAACUUACGUGUGGAACAUCAAGCGUACGUUUUGGAAUUCAACAGAAAGAAGGAAGGGUUGGGUGUAGGAAAGGAGGGAGUGGAGCUACGAGUCUGCACAGCUUUUAAGGAUCAUGAAUGUGGGUGUAGUUUCUUUGUUUUCUUUUAAUAUAUGGUGUGUGAGUGUUUGUUUUUGUGUGUGUGUGUGUGUGUUCUUGGAUCUGUGGUAUCUCUGUCACUGCGCUGGCAAAUCUACAGAGAAUUUAAUAUCCUGAAUCGACAAUCACUUGCAGAAGAAAAGGUAAACUCUACUCUGCAUCAAAGACGUGAAUACAUACAUCGUCAUAUACCAAGGAAAUUCAGGAAUGUAAUGGCGAGAUUCUCAAGCAAUUAUACAAAAAUGGUGAUAUUGUGUUAUGGUAGAGCAGCCAGUAUUCACACUCCAAUGGUUAAGUGCUAGUAGGCACACACACAGCUUUGCAGCAGUACUGAAAAAAGUGUUUCAGGAAAUGUACACCUCUGAAAUGCUAGGUUAGCCAACAGCACCAACAAAAUCACACAUCUCCUCUACUGUACAUAAAGAAAGAAAGAAAAGGGAGAGCACUUCCUUGGAAAUGGGAAACAAAACAGAAAGCUUGAAUUUGCUAACCACUUAUGAGCCUCGGAAAAGACCUCAGAAAAGAAAAACAACAAUUGAAAUAGAAAAGUAAUCUCCUGAAGGUGCCUGAGGUGAAGACGCACUUCCUCGGAAACGGGAUACAAAACAGAAAGCUUCAUUUUGCUACCCACUUAUGAGCCUCAGACACGACCUCAGAAAUGAAGAACAACGAAUGAAGUAGAAAAGUAAUGUCCUGGACGUGCUUGAGGUGAACGGAAACAGAACAGAAAGCUUCAUUUUGCUACCCACUUAUGAGCCUCGGAGACGACCUCAGAAAAGGAAAACAAGAAUUGGAAUAGAAAAGUAAUGUCCUGGAGUUGCUUGAGGUGAAGACAUUCAACUAAAGAGUAAUAAAUG